rnacentral:lncRNA from 1 species
AACAAAUAUGACGAACAUUUCUUGUAGCGUGGUCAAUUGUGUAAUUUCAACUUCAAAGGAAUUGAAAGAUGGUUAUGAUUUACCUGUAUAUGGACUAGAUAAUGGUUCGUUUUAUAACAUUCACGUGCCAGCACUAGUUUGCAUAUUUUUAAGUUUGAUCAGCGCUGUAUCGGUCAUUAGCUACUCAUUUUACAAUCAACACAUAUCUACUUUCUUUGAGUGGACAAGAUGUGAACGAUUUGCUGUUUAUAUGGCAAUAUGCGAUGGUCUUUUUAAUAUUUCUCAUUUUGCUGACCAUUUGCAUAUCGUUCUUACAAAGAGUCUACCAACACCAAAAGUGUUGUGUGCUUUCUAUGGAUUUUUGUUGGCGGAGUUCAUUACAGCUCAGAACUUAUUGGUCAGUAACGUUGCCAUUAAUGUUUUUGUAUUGAUUUUUUUUCGAAAAAAAAUAAACUUUGGAUUAAAAGAUUACAGACUUCUUUGUGUCAUUUUCUUACUUCCUGCAUUGGGACUGACAGUGGUUGCUGCUUUAGGACAGCUCGGUCCAAAUGGAAGCUUGUAAGUAUACAUACAAAGUAUCAGGGUAAACAUAAUUGAUUACUCUAAAAGCUUAAUUUGUUUAAUAUUUGCUGUGUGCUUAUCUUUCAAGUGCAAAACGUUUUAAAUAUAUUCAGGAGGAGAACAUAUAAAAAUUAAAAAUUUUAUAGCUACCCUACCGAAAUAAAAAUAAUGUAAUUUUUCACUAGAAACAAAAUGUUUGAUAUGGGCAGAAACAUUGCAUUGCUACAGAUCUCUCAAUUAAAUAUUGCAUGAUGAACUCAUCAAUCGAAACGGACAAAGAUGCACAUUUUAAAUCGCACAGGCAGUCGAAUGCAGCCACAUCAAUAUGUUAUCGUCAAUUUAUCAUUUCUCAGCAAUAAGAUACUUUCUGCUCCAUCGUAUGGUGUUUACAUAUUUCAGUGAAUAUGUUACUCUCGAACAUGUUCACGUUACACAGACUUUAUUUCACGAAGUGGUAUUCUUCUACAAAAAUUUUGAUUUAAAUACAGUUACGAAAAGGAAGAACUUAAAUCGACAUUUCAUAUAUUUAACGGUGGCAUCACGAAUUAGUUGACAUUAGAUUAAAACAAAAUUACUACUGCGGCAUAUUUUUUUUAAUCAUUUUAACGUAUUCAAAUUUCAGCUGCUACUUUGAUGGUGUAACUGGACAGAUAGCCAACUUCAUCUUUACAACAAUAUUACUUUGUUUUAUUUUGAUAAGUAAUAUAAUUCUUUACGUCAUGAGCUUGGUACGUAUCUAUAAAGAAACACAAACGAUUAAAAAAACUCUUGGCAAAUCGUGCAAAUCUUUGGAAGCAUCGCAUAGAGCUGCGAAAACCAUGUCGCUGUUCGUGACUGCAUUCCUUGUACAGUGGUGGGCAAUGGCGAUGUAUGGUAUUUGGCAGUGGGUUACGGAUGUCCCUCAACUUUUGUUCAAUUUCGUUACAACUUUUUCAAAUAUUGGUGGCAUACUUAAUGGAAUAGUAUUCAUUAUCAUUGUGAGAAGGAAACGAGUUGAGCUUGACUCUAUUAAAAAAAAGCCGGACAUCAAAGAAUUGGCAAAACAGCAAGCAGUCAUAAUGCAAAAAUUAAGUAAUCAAGUGUAAACAGUCUUAUCUUUAAAGAACAAAUUCAUGCUUGAAUUAUCAUAUUUUUGGCUUUAUUAGUUGUAUCAUACAUUUCAUAACAGCCAUUGAUUCAGGGAACUAAUUUAUUAUAUCAUUUUUAUAUAUUAUUGAAAACGAAAAUGUUAAUCGACAAAGAACGCCUUUUAUGUAUGCACGCAUCGAUAUAGCUAUUUGAUUCAUACCGUAAAGUAACUGUUUGCAUCUAAGUCCCAGAUCUUUUUUGACAAUUGUCUCAUUGCGAGUCAUACUAACUUCAUAAAUAUCAUUUUUCUACAUGCACC